AGCAAACCUCUUCCCUGUCCCUGUGCAGUGAAGUGUUGGAAAAUUUCCUGAUGGUCUUUUAAAAGAAAGACAUCAGACAAGGAACCUCAUCCUCUCAGACGGGUGGAGAGACUUGCAAGGACUGGGGAAGCAAAAGCAGAUUGUGGCCUCCUACAAGACCAGUGCUCAGCCGAACCAAAGCUGUCAGCAUGCAAGAGCAUCCAGUGAUGGCAUGUAAACCCAAGCAUUGUUGUUAAGCAGAACAAGAACACCUCAUGAAACCAUAAAGCAUCCACGAGGGUUGUUCAUCAGGUUCUGCUUGGUGAAUCAUCAAGUUUACUGUGGAAAGAGGAACUACCAUGAAAACCCCUGUGCUAGAGGUUUCAGAUGGAAGACAUCUCUUUUUUUGGAUGAAGACAACACCUUGAAAUCGGAUAUAAAACGGAGGAUGUCUUCUGGGACUAUCACUUGUUUGUGCAUGCACUAUCCUACGCACUGGCUGAUGAGUGAGUCAUUCAGCCUGCCACCUUA